rnacentral:rRNA from 1 species
UGGGGAAUAUUGCACAAUGGGCGAAAGCCUGAUGCAGCAACGCCGCGUGAAGGAAGAAGGUCUUCGGAUCGUAAACUUCUGUCCUUGGGGAAGAAGAACUGACGGUACCCAAGGAGGAAGCCCCGGCUAACUACGUGCCAGCAGCCGCGGUAAUACGUAGGGGGCAAGCGUUAUCCGGAAUUAUUGGGCGUAAAGAGUACGUAGGUGGCAACUUAAGCGCAGGGUUUAAGGCAAUGGCUCAACCAUUGUUCGCCCUGCGAACUGGGAUGCUUGAGUGCAGGAGAGGAAAGCGGAAUUCCUAGUGUAGCGGUGAAAUGCGUAGAUAUUAGGAGGAACACCAGUGGCGAAGGCGGCUUUCUGGACUGUAACUGACACUGAGGUACGAAAGCGUGGGGAGCAAACAGGAUUAGAUACCC